rnacentral:rRNA from 1 species
GACGAACGCUGGCGGCGUGCUUAACACAUGCAAGUCGAACGGAAAGGCCCUGCUCUUGUGGGGUGCUCGAGUGGCGAACGGGUGAGUAACACGUGAGUAACCUGCCCUUGACUUUGGGAUAACUUCAGGAAACUGGGGCUAAUACCGGAUAGGAGCUCCUGCUGCAUGGUGGGGGUUGGAAAGUUUCGGCGGUUGGGGAUGGACUCGCGGCUUAUCAGCUUGUUGGUGGGGUAGUGGCUUACCAAGGCUUUGACGGGUAGCCGGCCUGAGAGGGUGACCGGCCACAUUGGGACUGAGGUACGACCCAGACUCCUCCGGGAGGCAGCAGUGGGAAAUUGUGCACAAUAGGCGGAAGCCUGGUGCAGCAACGCCGCGUGCGGGAUGACGGCCUGCGGGUUGUAAACCUCUUUCGCCUGUGACGAAGCGUGAGUGACGGUAAUGAGUAAAGAAGCACCGGCUAACUACGUG